rnacentral:ribozyme from 14 species
AAAAACACAGCUACUUUUUUUAAUUUUGUUUUCUUAAAAUUAAAUAAUUGAAAAGAAGGGAAGCAGCUAAAAGGAAAUUGU